UGCAGUCGAGCGGCAGCGGGAAGUAGCUUGCUACUUUGCCGGCGAGCGGCGGACGGGUGAGUAAUGUCUGGGAAACUGCCUGAUGGAGGGGGAUAACUACUGGAAACGGUAGCUAAUACCGCAUGACGUCGCAAGACCAAAGUGGGGGACCUUCGGGCCUCACGCCAUCGGAUGUGCCCAGAUGGGAUUAGCUAGUAGGUGAGGUAAUGGCUCACCUAGGCGACGAUCCCUAGCUGGUCUGAGAGGAUGACCAGCCACACUGGAACUGAGACACGGUCCAGACUCCUACGGGAGGCAGCAGUGGGGAAUAUUGCACAAUGGGCGCAAGCCUGAUGCAGCCAUGCCGCGUGUGUGAAGAAGGCCUUAGGGUUGUAAAGCACUUUCAGCGAGGAGGAAGGCGUUGUAGUUAAUAGCUGCAACGAUUGACGUUACUCGCAGAAGAAGCACCGGCUAACUCCGUGCCAGCAGCCGCGGUAAUACGGAGGGUGCAAGCGUUAAUCGGAAUUACUGGGCGUAAAGCGCACGCAGGCGGUUUGUUAAGUCAGAUGUGAAAUCCCCGAGCUUAACUUGGGAACUGCAUUUGAAACUGGCAAGCUAGAGUCUUGUAGAGGGGGGUAGAAUUCCAGGUGUAGCGGUGAAAUGCGUAGAGAUCUGGAGGAAUACCGGUGGCGAAGGCGGCCCCCUGG
rnacentral:rRNA from 1 species